rnacentral:tRNA from 1 species
GCUGAGGUAGCCCAGCCCGGAAAGGCGCAGGCCUGGAGAGCCUGUGGUGCAUUGCACCUCGAGGGUUCAAAUCCCUCCCUCAGCG